UAGGCUGCAACUCGCCUACAUGAAGUCGGAAUCGCUAGUAAUCGCGGAUCAGCAUGCCGCGGUGAAUACGUUCCCGGGCCUUGUACACACCGCCCGUCACACCAUGAGAGUCGGGAACACCCGAAGUCCGUAGCCUAACCGCAAGGGGGGCGCGGCCGAAGGUGGGUUCGAUAAUUGGGGUGAAGUCGUAACAAGGUACC
rnacentral:rRNA from 1 species